AACAGUUAGGACGUAAAAUUUGUCAAAAUGUGGGGCAGAAAAACGAAACUUUUGGUAACUUUUGUAACACUCAUCAUUUUAUUUGGCGUGUUGGUCCAGUCUUCUCAAAGAGGACUACCAAAAAAACCAAUAAAAAAUGCAAGAAAUUCUCAACAAGCUGCAAGAACUCAGAAGUUUAAAAACAGAAGAAAUUACAUUAUCAAGUGCUGUGGGAAAAAAACGUGUUUACCGGCUCAUCCAAAAUUACGCGCAA